rnacentral:rRNA from 1 species
UACGUAGGUGGCAAGCGUUAUCCGGAAUUAUUGGGCGUAAAGCGCAUGUAGGCGGCUCUUUAAGUUUGAUGUGAAAGCCUGUGGCUCAACCACAGAAUUGCAUUGAAUACUGGAGAGCUAGAAUCUUGGAGAGGUAAGUGGAAUUUCAUGUGUAGCGGUGGAAUGCGUAGAUAUAUGAAGGAACACCAAUGGCGAAGGCAGCUUACUGGACAAGUAUUGACGCUGAGAUGCGAAAGUGUGGGUAGCAAA